rnacentral:rRNA from 1 species
UACGUAGGUGACAAGCGUUAUCCGGAUUUAUUGGGCGUAAAGCGCACGCAGGCGGUCUAUCAAGUCUGACGUGAAAUCUCUCGGCUUAACCGGGAGCGGUCGUUGGAAACUGAAGGACUUGAGGCGAUGAGAGGGGUGUGGAAUUCCCGGUGUAGUGGUGGAAUGCGUAGAUAUCGGGAGGAACAUCAGUGGCGAAAGCGGCACCCUGGAAUUAGCCUGACGCUCAUGUGCGAAAGCGUGGGGAGUGAACGGG